GCGGGUGUAGCUCAGUGGUAGAGCACAACCUUGCCAAGGUUGGGGUCGCGGGUUCGAAUCCCGUCGCCCGCUCCA
rnacentral:tRNA from 4 species